CCUACGGGGGACAGCAGUGAGGAAUAUUGGUCAAUGGGCGUAAGCCUGAACCAGCCAAGUCGCGUGAGGGAUGAAGGUUCUAUGGAUCGUAAACCUCUUUUAUCAGGGAAUAAAGUGCGGGACGUGUCCCGUUUUGUAUGUACCUUAUGAAUAAGGAUCGGCUAACUCCGUGCCAGCAGCCGCGGUAAUACGGAGGAUCCGAGCGUUAUCCGGAUUUAUUGGGUUUAAAGGGUGCGUAGGCGGCGAGUUAAGUCAGCGGUAAAAUUUCGGGGCUCAACCCCGACAAGCCGUUGAAACUGGCUUGUGAGAGUGGGCGAGAAGUAUGCGGAAUGCGUGGUGUAGCGGUGAAAUGCAUAGAUAUCACGCAGAACUCCGAUUGCGAAGGCAGCAUACCGGCGCCCAACUGACGCUCAGGCACGAAAGCGUGGGUAUCGAACAGGAUUAGAUACCCGUGUAGUC
rnacentral:rRNA from 1 species